GACAGAGGAUGCAAGCGUUGUCCGGAAUUAUUGGGCGUAAAGGGCUCGUAGGCGGUUUGUCGCGUCGGGAGUGAAAUCCACUGGCUUAACUGGUGGCUUGCUUUCGAUACGGGCAGACUGGAGGUAUGCAGGGGAGAACGGAAUUCCUGGUGUAGUGGUGAUAUGCGUAGAUAUCGGGAGGAACACCUGUGGCGAAGGCGGCUUUCUGGGCCCUACCUGACGCUGAGACGCGAAAGCGUGGGGAGCGAACCGG
rnacentral:rRNA from 1 species